GAUGAACGCUGGCGGCGUGCCUAAUACAUGCAAGUCGAGCGAACGGACGAGAAGCUUGCUUCUCUGAUGUUAGCGGCGGACGGGUGAGUAACACGUGGAUAACCUACCUAUAAGACUGGGAUAACUUCGGGAAACCGGUGCUAAUACCGGAUAAUAUUUUGAACCGCAUGGUUCAAAAGUGAAAGACGGUCUUGCUGUCACUUAUAGAUGGAUCCGCGCUGCAUUAGCUAGUUGGUAAGGUAACGGCUUACCAAGGCAACGAUGCAUAGCCGACCUGAGAGGGUGAUCGGCCACACUGGAACUGAGACACGGUCCAGACUCCUACGGGAGGCAGCAGUAGGGAAUCUUCCGCAAUGGGCGAAAGCCUGACGGAGCAACGCCGCGUGAGUGAUGAAGGUCUUCGGAUCGUAAAACUCUGUUAUUAGGGAAGAACAUAUGUGUAAGUAACUGUGCACAUCUUGACGGUACCUAAUCAGAAAGCCACGGCUAACUACGUGCCAGCAGCCGCGGUAAUACGUAGGUGGCAAGCGUUAUCCGGAAUUAUUGGGCGUAAAGCGCGCGUAGGCGGUUUUUUAAGUCUGAUGUGAAAGCCCACGGCUCAACCGUGGAGGGUCAUUGGAAACUGGAAAACUUGAGUGCAGAAGAGGAAAGUGGAAUUCCAUGUGUAGCGGUGAAAUGCGCAGAGAUAUGGAGGAACACCAGUGGCGAAGGCGACUUUCUGGUCUGUAACUGACGCUGAUGUGCGAAAGCGUGGGGAUCAAACAGGAUUAGAUACCCUGGUAGUCCACGCCGUAAACGAUGAGUGCUAAGUGUUAGGGGGUUUCCGCCCCUUAGUGCUGCAGCUAACGCAUUAAGCACUCCGCCUGGGGAGUACGACCGCAAGGUUGAAACUCAAAGGAAUUGACGGGGACCCGCACAAGCGGUGGAGCAUGUGGUUUAAUUCGAAGCAACGCGAAGAACCUUACCAAAUCUUGACAUCCUUUGACAACUCUAGAGAUAGAGCCUUCCCCUUCGGGGGACAAAGUGACAGGUGGUGCAUGGUUGUCGUCAGCUCGUGUCGUGAGAUGUUGGGUUAAGUCCCGCAACGAGCGCAACCCUUAAGCUUAGUUGCCAUCAUUAAGUUGGGCACUCUAAGUUGACUGCCGGUGACAAACCGGAGGAAGGUGGGGAUGACGUCAAAUCAUCAUGCCCCUUAUGAUUUGGGCUACACACGUGCUACAAUGGACAAUACAAAGGGCAGCGAAACCGCGAGGUCAAGCAAAUCCCAUAAAGUUGUUCUCAGUUCGGAUUGUAGUCUGCAACUCGACUACAUGAAGCUGGAAUCGCUAGUAAUCGUAGAUCAGCAUGCUACGGUGAAUACGUUCCCGGGUCU
rnacentral:rRNA from 1 species